GUUGUCGAGAGCGAAGCGGUGCUCUCUGGUGCCGGGGGUUUCCCCCUUGCUGUGAGGAGAGUACUGUGCAGCCUCCUCGGCUUCCCCCAGGCUCGGCUGGGACUGUAGGACCAGGUCCGAUUUCGAGGGACGGAGCACGUUUCCCAAAGGCAGGGGUAGAGAGAAUAGGGAGUGCGCUGGGCGGAAGGUCCUUGCUUUCCAGCUAGCACAGUUCCUUUCCGGCACCUCACGUAUGUCGUCGGUACCGUGUCCUGCAGCGAGGGCUGCGGGAGUGCCUUUGUGUGGAAGUCUCCAAUUCCUAUCCUUCACUUUUUAAUCAGCUUGGUGAAUUUCUCCGUGGUGCUGCCACGGAGAAAUCAAGCACAGCUCAAAAUAGCUAAUAAAGCAGAAGUGGGAAGGAGAGCAUAACCAGUACAAAAGGGACGAAGGGAAGAGCAAUUUUAGCUACCGAUGUAUGAGAUGCACCCAGGAGAGACGGAGGCCUCAGCAGGAGCAAUGAGAGAUUGCAGCCAUGAAAGUAUUAAGGCAGAAUGAUGCUUUGUGAGCUGGAAGAUACUAGGGCUAGGCCAGGAAACACAUUCCCCUUUUCCUCCUUAGAGAUUUUAUUCUUCAUAAAGUCCUCCAGCCAGUUAUAAAUGCAUGCAAAAUACAGAGCUUGUGUGUGUGAGUGGUUUAGUUGAGUUAUGUGGGUUUGUUGUGUUUUUUUAAGCAAAGGAGAUGAGAGGGACAAAGGCAUUGUUUGCAGUAUGUCUUGAAGAUCAAAAAGGCUCGUGCUGUAGAGGUGCGGCUGAUGUCACUUUUAUCAGUCAGGACCCUCCUCUGCACCCAUGACACUGGCCUCCCAGUGCAGCUGGGGGGCAACAAGGACUAGGAUCUUCAAGUAAUAAUAUUUGUAAUGGGUUGCCAUGCGGAAAUGGAGCCUGACUACCCCAGAAAAUGCCUAACGUAGCCUUCACUGCUCUAUCUAUCCUUAUAUUAUUCCAUUGUUCUUCUACAAAUAGUGUGUUGGAAAAGGUUAACAUGGAUUAUAACGCUGCCUUGACUGGAAGAACUAUUUGUCAAUAAAGCCUGACUGCUGUAACAUAAAACUAUAUUGGCAGUUGUGAUACCCAUUUGUAACUCUCAAGUCUUUUACAGUACAGAUCUUCGGUACUGGGAAUAGUUCCGGAAUUUGCUGCUCAUUCCUCAACAAAGUUAACUAAAGGCAGCAGAUGAUAAAUUUUACUCCUUGGAGAAAAACAAACGUUGUGAUUAUGGACUUACAGAAAGGUCAAGCAACAUACAGCUCAAGUUUUAGAUGAACCAGUGUCCCACAAUCCACCAGGAAGAGUUAGAGGAGGCUGCUAGAGAAAACAUCUUAGGGGAACUGGAGGUUAAAACAGUUUUUAGUUAUCUGGUAUUCCUCUCUACCAUUUAGAGGAAGAGCUUUCACAUAAUAGAAAUCAAGGCAGCAGAAACAGAAAAGCAGGCUGCUUUUCAAUUAAAUAGAAUAUUGUGGUGCUUGGUGCUGGGCUUCUUCAUGCUCAGGAUGUGGAAGAUUCUAGCCACAGGCUGAAAAACUAGGCUGAGCUUUCAGUUGAAUGCUGUGAAGCGUGGGAUACGUUGGGAGAUCCUCCCACAUUGUCUGUAGAGGGAGAAGUAAGAGGAGCUCUUACCUGUUCAGACCUACUAUGUCAGUCUGGUUUUUUUCUCUGAUGUGCAACGGAGGCAGGGAACUCAAGCUAAGGCUUGACUAAGAAUAUUGUGUUACAUAAUUAGUACAGUGGUAAGAAUAAAUCAGACUUGAACUCUGUGAAGCAUGGUAGGCACAGGGAUUCUUCUCAUGUGUUUCCAACCUACUGGUUUCAGCUGCUUGUAUCUCUCAGAAUUUUUCAUGUUUUUCAUUUGUUUGAAAGCAGAUGCUUCAUUUCUAGAAAGUCUGAUGAGGAGAGAGAAGUUCUUCAGCUCAGACCACAUUUAAAAUAGUGACAGCACUUCAGAAAAGAAAAUGGAUAGCUCAAAAGCCUGUACUCAUUUUGGAGAAUGUCCUUGAUAAAUCAGAGAUUAAAAAAAAAACCAAAAUAAAUUUGGCAAGUCAAACAGUAUUUUUUGGGUGGUAACAAGCUUCAGAGUAUGAAGAUAGAGGACCCUUUGAUCAGAAUUGCUUUUACUGUCUUCUCUUACUACACCCUUCAAGGUAAAAGAUAAUGUUCUCUGUGGAAUCAUUUAAAAAGGCAGACUUCAAAAUACUGCAUGAGUCAUAUGUAAUGCUUUCACAGUUAAUGAAUAGUAGUGUCUGGUUACUGGAUCUAGUCUUUGGAAGGUGUGCUGUGGUGUUGAUCGGGUUUUCUGUUUUAUUUUCUGCUUAGCUUUACUGUCCUUUAGAGCAUAUACUGAUUCCUUACCUAGGUUACCUAGGGUAGUGUGGAGAAAACUGAAAAAUAAUUGUUAAAGAAUCAAGAGACAAUGGCUUUCAGCUACUUAGCAGUAGCCUGUCAUACAUCUGAAGCUGCCAUUUUCAAUUAUUUCUUCAAGCUUUUAUUCUACAUCUAUUAAUAAUUUGUAGCCCCUUCCAUCUGUUCAUUUUAUUGAUGAGUUCCUCAUUUUUAUAAAUGUGAAAUCACUUGGGUUUUACUUUGUACUUCAAAAUGAAAUACAUUUCUCUUGAAGGCCUUGGAACUGGUGUUUGCUAAGGAAAAGAAUACUUCUUUCUGGAUUAAAUUGGGAUAACAAGCAUCUGUCAAGUCUUUUCAGAGAAUUUUCAUUGUUUUAUAGUGGAGAAUGUUUAAAACCAGUAAAUACUUUGAAAAUUUGGACUUUAUCAUUACUUCCCUAACUUGGACAACUGGAUUAUUCAGAUACGAUCCGAUUAUUCAGAUAGUACCUUACCAUCUUCUUCCUGUUACAGAGUAUUCGCUAUGCAGCAGAUCCCAAUUGGUGAAGCCAAUGUAACAGGAAGCUGUCCAGAAAAGCUGCUGUAUUACAUCUAACAUCAUCACUGUGUGAACAUGGCUUUUCCGUUCUCUCCAACUAGCCUAGAUGGGAAGACAACACCAGGUACCAAACAGUGGCACCAGCAGCUGAGUAGGUGGGUUGCUGCUUGCAGGGACAGCUCACCGUAAGACUGGUACCAAUGCUUUGAGAUUCUAGGUUGGUGCAAGAGCUGUGCAGAAAGCUGGAGGGGUUACAAGCAUUGUGCAGCUGCUUGAUGGGUGUUACUAUAAGAUGAGAAAUCUGAUUGUAUGCUGAAUUCAGGUAUGACAAUACAGUGUAAGGAAACCGCUCUGUCUAGGGAAGAGUGAUAGGUGAUCUGCUUUUUUUUUGUAUGGUCUUGCACAAAUUUUCAACAUAGAAAUUGGGAAGCAGCGUAGAUAGUUGGGAUUGGGGGCCCCCCCCCCAUUUAACAAUUCUUACAAUCUUGCGAUGUUGCCACCUAUGGGUGAAACCUUGGAACGCUGCUUCAGCAAUAAAAACAUCACUACCAAGUC